rnacentral:lncRNA from 1 species
GUACUUUUUCUUAUUAUUCUUCUUCUUCCAGUGUACCACCACAAAACGGUGAAGAAGCACCUUUCAAGAUCGAACCAGAAUAUAUAGAAGUGACAGAUUCUGAACUGGGAACGAACAAUAAUGUCUCGGUUUUGGCUUAUCCGGCUGAAUUUAGAGGUUUCAUGUUGGACGCUCGUAAGUGUGAUAAGUGUGAGUCUGCUGGCAUGUUUAAUUUGAUUAACCCGGACAACAGCAUACUCAUCUGUGGUGUGAGUCCUGCCCUGCACCCACUACACAUAUUCGUUAUCCAUUUUUACACCAUGUGUUAAAUGUUAUAGCAAUUAAUUCCUUAAACUGAAUUGCACUGUUUAUGAUAUGGAUAUAUUAUCAGGGCCAUGCUGUGGCUCAAAAAAAUAACCAAAGAAAAAGGACAGUUCAAGUGUUGUGGACCCCCGAAGAGACUGGAGUGUUUUUCUUCAGAGCUGUAUUCGUUGAAGAAUACAGUAAGGUUUGGCUAAGGAAGGCAAUCAUAUUCACGUCGACUGCACCACCAACCACUGAAGCCACCAGUCACAGUGCACAAACAAGUCCAACAGAGAUGUGCUUUAGCACUGUUAUUAUUCAGUCGACUGUGUUUUCUUGGAGGCUCUUCUCUCCUGAUGAUCAUCAGACCAGUAUCGAAAAUGGUAAGUGUGUCCAAAAACUGCAGAAUGCACUAAAUAUAUUCAGUUUAAAAAUAAAAAAAGGAAUUAAUAUAAUAAGACAAGGAGUUUUAAAUCUUGAUAACUUAUAUGCAUGAUGUCCUCCAGCUUAAAUGCACAGAUUCAUACUGAAUUCAUAAUUUAAUAUAAAGUAUUUGACAAAUCAUGUCUCUCUUCACAGGCCACCAUGAUUGCGUCUGUCUUUGAACUAGCCUCCAAAACUAUUGCUGUCAUCUUCAUACUAAUAAAACUAAUUAAAGUAAGACUUUUUUUUUACUAGACUGAACUUGUACUAAAAUUAUUAUUUGCUUAACCAUGGCAAUUGACAUCUAAUUUAUUUUGCUGUACAUGUUUUUGUGUCAGUAUGAGUGUGUGUGUGAGUGUGAUAGUUUGCAGAUUGUGUUUACUGCUUUGACAGUGUCUGCCAUGGCUUCAAGCCUGCUGCACACUCUCACCGUUUUCCUUCACUGUGGACCAAGCCAUGAAUUGUGAGUGUAAUCUUCACAUAUCAGUGUCUCUAGUGUCACCAGACAGAACUGCAGAAAUAACUGUUUCCUAACAGGUUUUGUCUGCCAUUGACCUUAGCCAGUGAGUGUAGCGCCAUAUUUAAUUUUUGACAGGAAUUAAACUGCUGUUUAACAACAUACUGAUUGUUCAUCUGAUGAAACGUCUUGCCAAAAAAAGUCCAGUAGACAAAAACUCCAUGAAACAGUUCUUCACGGA